GAUGAACGCUGGCGGCGUGCCUAAUACAUGCAAGUCGAGCGAACGGACGAGAAGCUUGCUUCUCUGAUGUUAGCGGCGGACGGGUGAGUAACACGUGGAUAACCUACCUAUAAGACUGGGAUAACUUCGGGAAACCGAAGCUAAUACCGGAUAAUAUUUUGAACCGCAUGGUUCAAAAGUGAAAGACGGUCUUGCUGUCACUUAUAGAUGGAUCCGCGCUGCAUUAGAUAGUUGGUAAGGUAACGGCUUACCAAGGCAACGAUGCAUAGCCGACCUGAGAGGGUGAUCGGCCACACUGGAACUGAGACACGGUCCAGACUCCUACGGGAGGCAGCAGUAGGGAAUCUUCCGCAAUGGGCGAAAGCCUGACGGAGCAACGCCGCGUGAGUGAUGAAGGUCUUCGGAUCGUAAAACUCUGUUAUUAGGGAAGAACAUAUGUGUAAGUAACUGUGCACAUCUUGACGGUACCUAAUCAGAAAGCCACGGCUAACUACGUG
rnacentral:rRNA from 1 species